GUAUUGAUUGCGGGUUAGCGCAUAAAUGAGGUCAUUCUACACUUUUUAAAAGGGGUGUUUGUGUGAAAACGCGAGCCUCCUCCGAGAUGAUCCCAAAGGGUGCCCACGCGGUGAUGCACAAAGGGUGAGAUGGAUUGUGUGAGAGGGCUCGGGCGUGCACGACCGGGGAAGGUCAGCGACAGCCCUCGCGCCUCGGUUUAACGAUAAUGAUCCUUCCGCAGGUUCACCUACGGAAA
rnacentral:misc_RNA from 1 species